rnacentral:rRNA from 1 species
GAUGAACGCUAGCGGCGGGCUUAAUACAUGCAAGUCAAGGGGUAGCAAUACACCGGCGUACGGGUGCGUAACGCGUAUGGAACCUGCCCUUAUCUGGGGGAUAACUCGGGGAAACUCGAGCUAAUACCGCAUAAGAUAGUAGAGAGGCAUCUCUUAGCUAUUAAAGAUUUAUCGGAUAAGGAUGGCCAUGCGUAAGAUUAGAUAGUUGGCGAGGUAACGGCUCACCAAGUCUACGAUCUUUAGGGGCUCUGAGAGGAGAAUCCCCCACACUGGCACUGAGAUACGGGCCAGACUCCUACGGGAGGCAGCAGUAGGGAAUAUUGGGCAAUGGGCGGAAGCCUGACCCAGCCACGCCGCGUGCAGGAAGACGGCCCUCUGGGUUGUAAACUGCUUUUAACUGGGACGAAAGUAGUCCUUGCGAGGAAAGUUGACGGUACCAGUUGAAUAAGCCACGGCUAACUACGUGCCAGCAGCCGCAGUAACAC